AUUACCACUGCUGCUUCCCCAAGCCUGCUCGCAGCAGGGCCCAGUGCAAAAGCAGCAGCAGUGACAUCAGCUUGCCGUGCACCAAGUCAGCUGCCAGAUUAAAGAAAAUAACAGAUCGACAGGACCAUGGAUCGGGGCUUUGUUUACCACAAGGACCUUCAUGCCAUCGGUGCUAGCUACAACAAACCUAGAUGUGCCAGUAAUGUGCGGCAUUAUUUCUGCAUAUAAGGCAUGCUAGUGUGAAAAUGGGGGACUGGAACUUGCUAGGAAGUAUACUCGAAGAAGUUCACAUUCAUUCUACUAUAGUGGGAAAAAUAUGGCUCACCAUCCUCUUCAUAUUUAGGAUGUUAGUACUUGGAGUGGCUGCUGAAGAUGUUUGGGAUGAUGAACAGGAGGAGUUUAUAUGUAACACAGAACAACCUGGUUGUAGGAAUGUAUGUUAUGACCAAGCAUUCCCUAUUUCACUUAUACAAUACUGGGUAUUACAAAUAAUCUUUGUGUCUUCACCCUCUCUUGUAUACAUGGGACAUGCACUUUACAGACUGAGAGCUCUCGAAAAAGAGAGGCAAAGGAAAAAAGCACAGCUCAGGGCAGAGCUGGAAGAUUUGGAAGCCGUUAUUGAUGAACACAGAAGACUUGAAAAAGAGCUAAGAAAGCUAGAGGAGCAAAAGAAAGUAAACAAGGCUCCCCUUCGUGGAUCUCUUUUACGCACCUAUGUUCUGCAUAUCCUAACCAGAUCUGUUGUAGAAGUUGGCUUUAUGGUUGGCCAGUAUUUGUUGUAUGGCUUUGACCUUAACCCUUUGUAUAAAUGUUCACGUUUUCCGUGUCCAAACAUAGUGGAUUGCUUUGUAUCCAGACCAACAGAGAAGACUAUUUUUAUGGUCUUUAUGCACAGUAUUGCUGCUGUAUCACUGUUUCUGAACAUUUUAGAAAUUUUCCAUUUAGGUAUCAAAAAGAUCAGACAAGGACUUUACGAGAAACAUAUUGCUGAUGUGACAGAGGAUGAAAUAAGCAUUUGUAAGUCUAAAAAGAACUCUGUUCAGCAGAUUAGUAUGCUAAGUAAUUCUUCCCCAAACAAGAUCAUUCCUUUAUCUUCAAGUGGCUACAAAUUGAUGCCUGAACAGCAAAUGGACUCAGUUGGAUUACCAGCUUAUCUUCCACCAGCACCUGGAUUUAAGGAAGUACACAUGAUUAGCAACCAAAAUCAGUUUGGCAAUGUUAUGGCUACUGAGAAGCAUAGGAGGAGUGUGGAUCAACUUUGUACAGACCAACAUGGUGGACAGCUCAAUAUGCAUUGCAAGCAAGAGUCUCAUUACGUAGAACGCCAGAGGAUGGGUAAUCACAUUGAUCAAUACCAUGGACAAGUUAUUAGCAGGACACCCCUUCAUCAGCAUAUAGGGGAGCGUAGAGAAGAACCCCACAGCUCUUCCUUACAGAAGAGGAAUCUCUCAUCUAGCAGUGAGGAUUCAAACAAGAAAUCUCAGCGUAACAGUUGUCUCGGGUCCAAAAGCUGCCUUAAAAGCCAUCAGUCUCUAGAUCAAACAAGACAUAGCACAGUGCAUCCUCUCAGAUCAUGCCUUCAUUCAAGCCAUAUGGAGCUACCAUCAGCAUUGCGUAAAUACAGCAGAGUCAGCAGCUGCAAGGACUUUGCCGAAGAUCGAAGUGACUCUGCAGAUAGUGGACACUGCAAAAUAAGCUCCACCUCCAGAGGGUUUUCAGAGAGCAGGCUGGCCAGUGACCCAGAUAGUUCUGAUUCAAGAAAUGGUUCAGGAUCUGAGUCAAGAAGACGAGAGGAAAGCUCCUGCAUAACACCACCUCCCCCAUCUGGGCGCAGAAUGUCAAUGAGCAUGCUUCUGGAGCUCUCCUCAAUAAUGAAAAAAUAGUGCCUAAUAUGGAGGAUACUGACUUUGCAAACCAACCACCAGCAGAAAUCAGUGGGCCAUCUUCUAUGGUAGCAGGUGAACUUCUUAAGUAGCCUAGCUGCAGAGAUUGGGCUCCAUCAUUGUUUAAGCCAAAAAAUAACAGCAUUUUGCAUGUGUAAAGCAUCAGCAGUAAGCAAUACCCUACAUAUGUAAAAAUGAGGACUUCUCUAUGCUAGGAACUCUAUUACGCUAAUAUGCCAUGAACAAGACCACUAGUGGUCAGAACAAUAGUAUAUCCAAAAAGAAUGAGGAAAUUAUAUCGCUUUUGGUUAGCAUCAAUAACAGCACACCUGUACAUGUGAACAAACCAGGGGCCUGACGAAGCGCUGAUUGCGCGAUACGGACCGUCGCCCAACCCACUCCCCCACCCCUCUGCAUCCGUCGGCUCUCCCGCACAUUUUGGAACGCUGUCAAGCCGAUUUGCAAUAAAGAAGUUUGCUGUUCCAUAAAAACCUGGAUCACAUGUUCAUAUGGAAUGAAGAACAAAAUAAUGAAAAGUUAAGGCAAACACAACAGAAACACCUUGUGUAAACCCAUAAGACCCAUAAGAUCUGGUCAUAGAAAGCUAAGAGUGAUUUUUUAAGAUUCAGUCUUUCUAUCACAUUUACCCAUAAUUCACAGAGUACACAAAAUGCUACAUAUACUUCUUAUUUUAUUUAGAAUGACAUUAUUACUAUUACCUUAGGUUAUUCCCAGAAAUGUUCACUCAUUGUUGUUACGUUGUUCACAUUUCUGUUUGUUACAUUCUAAUAUAAGACAACUCCUGAUUUUUUUAUGCACAUGGGCCAUUAAAGGACUCCUCACGCCGCAGGAAAUACUUUGAAACCUACUCUACAUGCAAGCUACUGAUCAUUAAAAUUCAAAUGCUGAGAUUCAGCAUUCACUUGCCAUUGUUCUUUAACCUCCGUAGCCCCAGAGGAAUUCUACACAGAGGAGAUAUAACUUCACCAUCUGAAUGAAAGCCAGCUUACCUAAUAAAUGUGAGAUGA